GACGAACGCUGGCGGCGUGCCUAAUACAUGCAAGUCGAGCGAAUCUUCAUUAGCUUGCUUUUGAAGAUCAGCGGCGGACGGGUGAGUAACACGUGGGCAACCUGCCUGUAAGACUGGGAUAACUUCGGGAAACCGGAGCUAAUACCGGAUAAUCCUUUUCCUCUCAUGAGGAAAAGCUGAAAGACGGUUUCGGCUGUCACUUACAGAUUGGCCCGCGGCGCAUUAGCUAGUUGGGGAGGUAACGGCUCACCAAGGCGACGAUGCGUAGCCGACCUGAGAGGGUGAUCGGCCACACUGGGACUGAGACACGGCCCAGACUCCUACGGGAGGCAGCAGUAGGGAAUCUUCCGCAAUGGACGAAAGUCUGACGGAGCAACGCCGCGUGAGCGAUGAAGGCCUUCGGGUCGUAAAGCUCUGUUGUCUGGGAAGAACAAGUACCGGAGUAACUGCCGGUACCUUGACGGUACCUGACCAGAAAGCCACGGCUAACUACGUGCCAGCCGCCGCCGUAACAC
rnacentral:rRNA from 1 species